UACGUAGGGAGCAAGCGUUGUCCGGAAUCAUUGGGCGUAAAGCGCGCGUAGGUGGCUUCGUAAGUCCGUUGUGAAAGUCAAAGGCUCAACCUUUGAAUGCCGAUAGAUACUGCGGAGCUAGAGUACGGAAGAGGCGAGUGGAAUUCCUGGUGUAGCGGUGGAAUGCGCAGAUAUCAGGAGGAACACCAAUAGCGAAGGCAGCUCGCUGGGACGUUACUGACACUAAGGCGCGAAAGCGUGGGGAGCGAACAGG
rnacentral:rRNA from 1 species